rnacentral:rRNA from 1 species
UCUCAGUUCGGAUCGGAGUCUGCAACCCGACUCCGUGAAGCUGGAUUCGCUAGUAAUCGCGCAUCAGCCACGGCGCGGUGAAUACGUUCCCGGGCCUUGUACACACCGCCCGUCAAGCCAUGGGAGCCGGGGGUGCUUGAAGUGCGUCGCCGCAAGGCGCGCCCUAGAGCAAAACCGGUGACUGGGCUAAGUCGUAACAAGGUACC